CGUGGGCGGAACCUGUUUGUCUCUGUGUUGCCUUUAGGGUUGCCUCCCGAACGUUUUCUGAGUCAAGAUAACUUUCGCAGUCUGCACUCAUUUAAUCUAGUUGUUAAGAACAGUAUUAAUAUUUUUUUUGCGUAUCGUAGGCUACUAGAAAAAUGCAUUCCGGGACAUUGGAAAGAGCUGGGUCACCGAGGAAAAGGACGCUUUCUCGGGGAGUGAGCGAGGAUGAGUCACUUCGCAACAUUAUCAAGGAGACGGAGAGUUCGACCAGGCGUCUGACGCACAGUGACAGCAGAGGGGGGACCCUCAAGAGGAGAAGUGGGAGUCAGGUAUAAUAAGUGUAAUGGAUGAAGGGCAAUUCCAUGCUAACAGAAUGAUGCAGAGACUCAAGUUUUCACAUUUAGAUGUAUGCCAAACAAAAACCAUUGAUUGCAAACUUAAACAACCCGUACAACUCUAUACACAAGGAGUACACUGAACAAAAAUAUAAAUGCAACAUGUAAUGUGUUGGUCCCAUGUUUCAUGAGCUGAAAAGCUUAUUUUUCUAAAAUUGUGUGCACAAAUUCGUUUACAUCCCUGUUAGUGAGCAUUUCUCCUUUGCCAAGAUAAUCCAUCCACCAGACAGGUGUGGCAUAUCAAGAAGCUGAUUUAAUAGCAUGAUCAUUACACAGGUGCACCUUGUGCUGGGGAUAAUAGAAGGCCACUCUAAAAUGUACAGUUUUGUCACACAACACAAUGCCACAGAUGUCUCAAGUUUUGAGGGAGCGUGCAAUUGGCAUACUGACAGAAGGAAUGCCCAUCAAAGUUGUUGAUCAACCUUGCUAGAUAAUUGAAUGUUCAUUUCUCAACCAUAAGCCCCCUCCAACGUUGUUUUAGACAAUUUGUCAGUACGUCCAACCAGCCUCACAACCGCAGACCACGUGCAUAGCGUUGUGUAGGCGAGUGGUUUUCUCAUGUCAAUGUUGAACAGAGUGCCCCAUGGUGAAGAUGUGGUUAUGGUAUGGGCAGGCAUAAGCUACCGACAACAAACACAAUUGUAUUUUGUCGAUGGUAAUACCGUGACAAGAUCCUGAGGUCCAUUGUCAUGCCAUUCAUCACCCAUCAUCACCUCAUGUUUCAGCAUGAUCAUGUACAGCCCCAUUUCACUGUAUACCUGUUGUAUUCGGAGCACGUGACAAAUAAACUUUGAUUUGAUGUCGCAAGGAUCUGUACAUGUCCCAGUUCUUCCAUGGCCUGCAUACUCACCAGACAUGUCACCCAUUGAGCAUGUUUGGGAUGCUCUGGAUCGACGUGUACGACAGCGUGAACCAGUUCCCACAAAUAUCCGGCAACUUCGCACAGCCCUUGAAGAGGAGUGGGACAACAUUCCACAAUCAACAGCCUGAUCAACUUUAUGCGAAGGAGAUGUGUUGUGCUGCAUGAGGCAAAUGGUGGUCACACUAGAUACUGAGUGAUUUUCUGAUCCAUGCCCCUACCUUUUUUUAAAGCUUUCUGUGACCAACUGAUGCAUAUCUGUAUUCUCAGUCAUGUGAAAUCCAUUACAUUAGGGCCUAAUGAAUUUAUUUCAAUUGACUGAUUUGGCAUGGGUUCUCAGAUCCUCAAACAGUUCUACAGCUGCACCAUCGAGAGCAUCCUAACUGGUUGCAUCAUUGCCUGGUAUGGCAAGUGCUCGGCCUCAGACCGUAAGGCACUACAGAGGGUAGUGCGUACGGCCCAGUACAUCACUGGGGCCAAGCUUCCUGCCAUCCAGGACCUCUAUACCAGGCAAUGUCAGAGGAAGGCCCUAAAUAUUGUCAAAGACUCUAGCCACCCUAGUUAUAGACUGUUCGCUCUGCUACUGCAUGGCAAGCGGUACCGAAGCCAAGUCUAGGUCCAAGAGGCUUCUUAACAUUUUCUUCCCCCAAGCAAUAAGCUAAUCAAGAGGAGAACGGGCGUGACCUCUCCCCCGACAGGAACAAUGACACAGACAGCAUCAGCGCCUACGAAGACGCCUGCGCUGACAUGCCUGAGCUGGAAGAGGGUGACGGGCCAAAGCUGCCCCAUGAUGAAGGCUCCCCAGUAGAUGAUGAGGGAGAUCCGUCGAAUGGCAACGAACCCAAGAGCAUCAAAAACCCCAAUGAAUCUUGCAUUCUGUCGUAAGAGCUGCAGAACUGUUGUGCUACGAAGGAUCAAAUCUUCUCUGAGAUCACUGCUCUCGCUCCGUCUGCCUCUUGUAUAUGCCAUUUAGCAGAUGCUUUUAUCCGAAGCGGCUUACCUGCAUCCAUUUUUUCAUUACGUCUUAUGUUCUUGGACCUGUACUCUCAAUUUACACCUAUAGAAGGGUAGAGUCAAUAUUGGGAGUUGUCUUAAUGCUACCAGGCAGGGUGGAAUUCCAGUCAUGUCUACAGACUACUCUAAAGCCAAUCUCUCUCCCUCAGCAUGUUUGGCACGACUUGCAAGGUUGCACUUACGUGUUCCUUUUGUUGUUGUUUUUUCCCUGCUGUUCGGCACAAAAGGCAAAUGACCUCCCUCUGUUUCUUAGUGACUGAUAAUCACACAGGACUGUUUGCGUACACUGAACAAUCAGAUAUGUCAGACCUCUUGCAUUCUAAAUAGGCAAACUAUGUGAUUCUUAGAUUAAGACGAUUCUAGUUGUUUUUAUGCUCUUAUAAGUUUAGACGCUGGCAAGAUUGUAAUCACAAUAGCAGGCAGCCAAGGAGCUAGCUGCUAUAUAUUUGAAUAAUUCCAUUUAUGGGUAUAAAACCAUAAUGUUUUCACUGCCUUACUGGCCUUCACAGGGACAUUUAAUUUGAUCUACAAGAAGGACUUGGUGCCUUUCCUGGCUCACCUUAAUGCAUUUUAUGAAUAUGGAAGAUUAACCUGAAAGAUGUAAUACAUUUACUGAAUUUAAUCAAGCUUUAGUACAAUACUAGCAUGAUUGAAAAAGUAACGACAUUCCAUUUAAUAGUAAAACUUUAAGGAUACCUGAUAAUAAUGUAUAUGUACAGUAACAGUACUGCAUGCUACUUGUCAGGUCGUGUUUGCACAGUUGCAGUGAAACUACUGAAUUGGUAGACCUUACAUGUUAUUUUGUAUCUGGCAUUGCUGGACAAUGUAUCCUUUGUUUUUCUUCUCUCUACCCAUAACCAUUAACACAAAAUCUGAGGAUAAUCUUUUGACUUGGAAAGAGUUACAUAAACAUUGCUACCUAUUAAUCUUCUUAGGAGAUUUUUGCAUAGUCCCAAAGGCACCUUAUUCCCUUUUUAGUGCAUUGCUUUUGACCAGGGCAAUAUAAAGGGAAUAGGGUGUAAUUUGGGACGCAUCCUUUAUCAACAUUCCUGUCCAUGUUUGACAGUAGCGAGGUCAAAUGGAAUUGAUCUGUUUUCCAAUCCUCACCUUUUUGAACAUUUUCAACAGAUACUGCGUUUGUAAUGAACUUGGGGGCAAAUCUUACAAUGCCUUCAACACUAGGUUUUGUGUGUUAGACGUUGUGUAUCUCAAGUCAGAAUGCAGCUCUUAGUAGUAGGGGUUAAAUGGAUGUCAAGUUCGAAAGCAGCACACUGAAAUAAUUCCUAACUUUGAUACUUGUGAUUUGUGUUUUCUAUUCUGUUUCUAUUGCCUGAAUUUCUGUUUCUGCGGGAGAUAGUCUUCAGAAAGUAUUCACACACCUUGACUUUUUCCACAUUUUGUUGUUACAAAGUGGAAUGGAUUUAAUUGUAAUUUAUGUUAACGAUCUACACAAAAUACUCUGUCAAAGUGGGAAAGAAUAACAUUGUAUUACUAGAAAAUAAAACACUAAAAUAUCUAAUUUAUGUAAGUAUUCAACCCCCUGAGUCAAUACAUGUUAGAAUCACCUUUGGCAGCAAUUACAGCUGUGAGUUUCUGGGUAAGCCUCUAAGAGAUUUGCACACCUGGAUUGUACAAUAUUUGCACAUUAUUCUUUUUAAAAAUUCUUCAAGCUCUGUCAAGUUGGUUGUUGAUCAUUGCUGUACAGUCAUUUUUAAGUCUUGCCAUAGACUUUCAAGACGAUUUAAGUCAAAACUGUAACAAAGCCACUCAGGAACAUUCAAUGUUAUUUUGGUAAGCAACUCCCAUGUAUAUUUGGCCUUGUGUUUUAGGUAAUUGUCCUGCUGAAAGGUGAAUUUGUCUCCCAGUGUCUGUUGGAAAGCAGACUGAACCAGGUUUUCCUGGAGGAUUUUGCCUGUGCUUAGCUCUAUUCCGUUUAUUUUAUAUCCCCCAAAAACUCCCUAGUUUGUUCUGUACAGGCUACCUUCUUUCCACUUUGUCAUUUAUGUUAGUAUUGUGGAGUAACUACAAUGUUGUUGAUCCAUCCUCAGUUAUCUCCUAUUACAGCCAUUAAACUCUGUCACUGUUUUAAAAUCACCAAUGGCCUCAUGGUGAAAUCCCUGAGCGGUUUCCUUACUUUCCUUAGGAAGGGCGACUGUACUUUUUUGUAGUGACUGGGUGUAUUGAUACACCAUCCAAAGUGUAAUAACUGCACCAUGCUCAAAGGGAUAUUCAAUGUCUGCUUUUUUACCCAUCUACCAACAGGUGCCCUUUGCGAACCAUUGGAAAACCUCCCUGGUCUUUGUGGUUGAAUCUGUGCUUCAAAUGAAUUGCUUGACUGAGCAACCUUACAGAUAAUUGUAUGUGUGGGGUACAGAGAUGGGGUAGUCAUUUUAAAAAUCAUGUUGAACACUAUUAUUGCAAACAGAGUGAGUCCAUGCAACUUAUUAUCUGACUUGUUAAGCACAUUUUUAGUCCUGAACUUAUUUAGGCUUGCCAUAACGAAAGGGUUGAGUAAUUAUUGACUCGACAUUUCAGCUUUUCAUUUUUAAUUCAUUUGUAAAAAUGUCUAAAAACAUAAUUCCAAAUUGACAUUAUGGGGUAUUGUGUGUAGAUCAGUGACACAAUCUCAAUUUAAUCCAUUUUAAAUUCAGGCUGUAACGCAACAAAAUGUGUAAAAAGUCAAUGUGUAUGAAUACUUUCUGAAGGCACUGUGUGUACUUUACUCGGGAGGUUUCUAAACGUGCAAUACUACCUGUUAUGUUGAUGAACGGUUAUGUGUCUUAUCUAUAAUGCUCCUUGAUGUCACAAUUUAUCUUGAACAUUUAGGUCUUUUUUUUCUGAAAGCAACUGUGUCUUUGAUAUAAAAGUAGUUUUUCAGCAGAGUCUUGGCACAAAGUGUGUUAUUUCAGCAUGCUUCUGCUAAUGUAAGUUUGCACUAGUUUUGUGAUUUGCACUUCCAAACAGGGUUUGCUGCAUCAUAUUAUGUUCUAAAAUGGCAAAAAAAAAUAUGGGGAAAGCGUACGUUCCUGAGUGGUAAUGCUUAUGCUUUAUCAUAUUUUCAUCAAAUAGUUAAGAUAAGAAAGUAUGUAUUUUUUGAAUGAAUUCUAUUCUUUUAAAGAAUAAAUAUUUUGUACAGCGC
rnacentral:lncRNA from 1 species